GCUAGUAGGAAUGAUAUAAGGGAUCAAAUACUUUUGUAGAAAACGAUUAUUCAUUUUUUCAGGGAUAGAGGAAAGUUCUUUUUCUCUCCCUUUGGCUCGUAUUUCUCAGCUCAAAUCUUACUUGUUUCUUUCACUAAAUUGCGAGCGAAAUAUUCAUAUUUUCAUGAUAUCAGAGCCAGUAAUCCGUUCCUGCUCAUUUUUCCAAUUCUAGCAAUGGUUCCCUUGGCAUAUUUUGUGAUUUUUUUGGCCAUGAGCAAUUCAUCUCUUCAAUGUUUGGUCAUUUUGAGCCUUUUGGGGAGAUUUUCAGCUAGAUCUUGUGGAAUUUUGGGUUUUGUAGUCAAUUUUGGCUGAUCAAUUUUUUGUGCAAUUGCUUAUCAAUUUCUAGUUUUUUUCUCUGUAAUCGGUACGUUAUCUUCUACUUCAUCGAUUUUUCAUCAAUCUAAUUGGUACACAUUCUUUUGUACCUACAAAUAUGGUGAAUGUUGUUGAAUCUUCUGGUACCACGUUUACCCUGAACCAUCUAGCCCAUUGUAUCUUCAGUCCUUUGAUGUUCCCGGAGUUUUUUAGUUUCCGUUCCAUUCUCGGGGACAGGAUUUGGAGUUUGGAGACGUAAUAUGACAGUCUCCUUUUCUGCUCGAAACAAGAUAAAUUUCAUUGAUGGCAGUUGUGCCAAACCUGCUGAGGGAUCUCCUCAACUUAGGUAGUGGUAUAGAUGCAAUAAUAUGGUUAUUUCGUGGUUGACUAACUCCUUGACUCCAGAUAUAGCUAGGAAUGUCCAGUAUUCUGAGACUACUAAAAGUAUAUAGAAACAACUCAAUAAAAGAUAUGGAACCAUUAGUAGGACGAAGGUUUUUGAAAUCAAAAAGGAAUUGGCUUUUACUACCAAGGUAGUCUAGAUAUAGCAUCCUAUUUCAAUAAGUUGAAGAAGUUAUGGGAUGAGCUUAAGUUUGUAUGUGGUUCCAAGAUUUCUUGUUGUACCUGUGCUGCCAAAGUUGAUUUACAACGAGAAGAUGAUUAGAAUAGGUUACACCAAUAUCUAAUGGGUCUGAAUGAGCCUUGUAUUGGUGUUCGAGGGAAUUUAUUGAUGAUGGAUCCUCUUCCAUCUUUGAAUAGUGCUUACAAUAUCCUCCUCCAGGAUGAAAGACAGAGCCAAGUUUCCAACUCUUCCUUGUUUAAUACUGAAGAUGCUUCUUUCAAUAUGGUCACUAACACCUCUACACCCAUUCAUCAUCUUUCUAAGCAGUUUAUCCCUAAUCAUUCGACAGGAUCUUCAUCAGUUUAUUUACCUGCUAGAUAGUUCUCCCAGAGAAUCAAUUUUGAUCAGUCCAAGUCCAAUUUGGUUUUAUAGGUAUUGCAAGAAUCCUGAACAUCUUAUAGACAAAUGUUACAAACUUCAUGGCUUUCCAACUAAUUUCAAGUUCACCAAAGAAAAAAGAGUUGCUGCAAAUGUGAAAUUACCAAGAUAUAGUGGAGACAGUGAUGUUAUUCCUCCUGAGUCUUCUACAAGUUUCUCUUUUAUUCCUGGAUUGACAAAAGACCAGCACAAUCAGCUUAUGACAUUGCUGUAAAAAAUUAGAGUAUCAUAAUUACAUCCUUGGAGAUCUGCUAACUUUGCCGGUAUAAUGUCUAACUCUCUUAAUAAUAUGUCAUAUGGUACUUGCAUGCUAACUAAAACAAAUGAUUACAUUUGGAUAAUUGAUUCAGGGGCCACCGACUACAUGCCAUCUAAUUAAUCUCUUUUAUUUGACAUUAAACCCCUAGUUGUGCCAUACUUUGUCACCUUACCUAAUGGCUACAAAGUGAACGUCACGUGUAUUGGGUCUUUUAAUUUUCUAUCUUUCAUACUUCACUAAGUACUUUAUAUACCUAGCUUUCUCUAUAACCUUGUUUCUGUGUCUAAGCUUGUUUAUUAAUUAGAUUGCAUUUUCUUAUUUACUAAACUUUCUUGUUUAAUACAGGCCCCUUCACUGAAGAGGCCACUGGUUGUUUGUAAACUGGACGAUGGGCUUUACAAGCUUGAGAAAUCUACUCUCAUUUCUACAUCUACUCCCCUACUCUCUUUGUUUUAAUAGUUUUGUUUCUGAAAGUACUAUUUCUAGUUCCAUUUCUUCUGAUAUUCCUUGUACGAUAAAGUUUGAUGUGUAUAAGAUAGAGUCUGGUUGUCAUGAGUCUUCUAAAUCUUUUGUUUAACCUUCUCCCAUAUCCCAUUGUAAUUCAGUUUGUGAUAUAAAUAAAAUGGAAAUAUUGAGGCACAAUAGACUGGGACACAUUCCCUUUGUCAGGAUGAAGAACAUUUUUUAUAUUCCUUGAGCUUUUUUCUCAAAAUAACUUUUUACUUGCACUAUUUGUCCUUUUGCUAGACAAUCUAGGUUGCCUUUUCCAGAUAGUUAAAUCCAAACUUCUCGUCCCUUUCAACUUAUUCAUGUGGACACAUGGGGUCCAUACAAAAGUCCCACUUAUAAUAAUUAUAGGUAUUUCUUGACCAUUGUUGAUGACUACUCUUGAGAAACCUGGACUCAUCUUAUGGAUUCAAAGAGUAAUGCUUUUUGUUUAAUUAAAUCUUUUAUGGCUUUAGUUAAAAAUUAGUUUCAGUCUACUGUUCAAACUCUCCGAAGUGACAAUGCUUAUAAAAUUGGUUCUAGUCACUCUGCCUCUGAAUUUUUUCUUACCCAUGGAAUUACUCACCAAACUUCUUGCCCUCACACACCACAACAAAAUAAUGUGGUUGAGAGAAAACAUAGAUAUUUAUUGGAAACUGCAAGGUCUUUGUUAUUCCAAUCCAGGCUGCCUCUCAAGUUUUGGGGUGACUGUGUACUCACUGCCAUCUAUCUCAUCAAUAAAUUCCCCUCCAAAUUACUUCACAAUAAAUCUCCUUAUGAGAUACUUUAUAAUACCCCUCCUUCCUAUUCACACAUCAAUACUUUUGGUUGCCUCUGUUUUUCCUCUGUACCCAAGACUCACAGGGAUAAGUUUCAGCCUAGGGCUGCUCCUUGUGUUUUCUUGGGCUAUCCACUUGGGUGUAAAGGUUAGAAUCUGUACAACCUUACUACCAAAGUCACAUUUCUAUCUAGAGAUGUUACCGUCCUUGAAGAUAUUUUUCCUUUUGCAUCUCCCUCUCUUUCUCUUCCUUCUUUCAUUUUUCCAGUUUCAUCUUCUCCAAUUUACUAUGAUUCCCCUCUCCCUUUUGUUUCUCCUCCUACUUCUCCCCCUUCCUCUUCUAAUUCUUCAAGUCUUCCUUUACAUCCAACACCUCUUCUAAGAAAGUCUUCUCGACCUCAUGUUCCUCCAACUUACUUGCAGUAAUUUAUGUGUUCUUUACCUCCUUCUUUGCGUGAACCUGAAUCUGUUCCUUCUAGUUCUCAUUGUUUAGUUAGUAUGGUUGAAUCUGAACCUCAUUCUUAUCACUAGGCAGUGUCCAUUCCUACCUGGCAAGAUACCAUGAAAAAAUAAUUUAAAGCCUUGGAAGCUAAUAACACUUGGUCUAUAGUUCAAUUACCCCCCGGGGAAAAACCCCAUAGGUUGUAAAUGGGUUUAUAAAAUCAAAUAUAGAGCAGAUGGAUUUGUAGAAAGAUAUAAGGCCCGACUAGUAGUUAGAGGAUAUAGUUAAGUUGCAGGUGUAGACUUCAAUAAAACUUUUUCCACUAUCAUUAAAUUCGAAACUGUCAAGUGCCUCGUUGUUGUGGCUGUCAAAAAAUAGUGGCCAUUUUUUCAACUUGAUGUAAAUAAUGCAUUUUUGCAUGGGGACAUUGAUGAAGUAGUAUACAUGAAGCUGCUCCCUGGCUUUAUUACUUAUCCUUUUGUUUGGUCCUCCCCAUUGGUGUGCCUUCUUCAAAAGUUUCUACACGACUUGAAACAAGCCUCUCGACAAUGUGAUUGGGCUACCUGCCCCGACACUCGGCGUUCUGUCACUGGUUUUUGUGUUUUACUGGGGGGUUCUCUUAUUUGUUGGAAGGCGAAAAAACAACCAAUUAUCUCACUUUCAUUUGCUGAGGCAGAGUACCGUGCUAUUAGCAAACUGGUUGCUGAGUUGACAUGGCUUGUCCGACUUCUUGACGAUUUCCACUCGCCUGCUUUUACUCCAACUCCGGUUUUUUAUGAUAAUCAGGAUGCCAUCCAUAUUGCUUGAAACCCCAUUUUUACGAGCGAACAAAAGAUAUUGAGCUAGAUUGUCACUUCACUCGCACAAAGCUUGGUGAUGGUUUAGUGGUUCUCCACCAUGUUCCUACUUCUCGCAACUUGCCAAUAUAUUUACCAAACAUCUUACUAGAGUUGUUCAUCAUAAUCUCCUUCUCAAGUUGGGAGUGUUACCCCUCUCCAACUUGACUGGGGGUCUUGGCAUUACUUAUUUUGGACCCUAGUUAGUUGUGCUUCUUAUAUUUAUUUGCAUCCGGGCUGUGAACCUGAUAGACAGAGACCCAAUGUUUUGUAAUAGUUAUUAGGAAUGAUAUAAGGGAUCAGAUACUUUUGUAAAAAAAUGGUUAUUCAUUCUUUCAAUGAAAGAAGAAAA